CGGAUUGAAGGCUGAAAUUCGCCUUCCAUGAAGCCGGAAUUGCUAGUAAUGGCAGGUCAGCAUACUGCCGUGAAUACGUUCCCGGGCCUUGUACACACCGCCCGUCACACCAUGAGAGUUGGGAAUACCCGAAGCCUGUGAGCUAACUUUUAGAGGCAGCAGUCGAAGGUAGAAUCAAUGAUUGGGGUGAAGUCGUAACAAGGUACC
rnacentral:rRNA from 1 species